UACGAAGGGGGCUAGCGUUGUUCGGAAUCACUGGGCGUAAAGGGCGCGUAGGCGGCUUUAUAAGUCGGGGGUGAAAGCCUGUGGCUCAACCACAGAAUUGCCUUCGAUACUGUAGAGCUUGAGACCGGAAGAGGUUAGUGGAACUGCGAGUGUAGAGGUGAAAUUCGUAGAUAUUCGCAAGAACACCAGUGGCGAAGGCGGCUGACUGGUCCGGUUCUGACGCUGAGGCGCGAAAGCGUGGGGAGCAAACAGGG
rnacentral:rRNA from 1 species